rnacentral:lncRNA from 1 species
UCCCCCCCCAGAGACCUGAUCUGUUUCUUCUGUUUUUAACGUGUUACCCCCCCCCCAAGUCUCACCUUACUUCAUGGCAUUUAUAAAAAAAAUCUACAUCGUCAGAAAGAACAAUAAUCAAUCUUAUGAAUGAAUGCUUUCCUCCCUUGCUAAAUUAGCCUAAUUUCUCCCUUGCUAAGUUAGCCUAAUUACUCCCUUGCUAAGUUAGCCUAAUUACUCCCUUGCUAAGUUAGCCUAAUUACUCCCUUGCUAACUUAGCCUAAUUUCUCCCUUGCUAAAUUAGCCUAAUUACUCUCUUGCUAAGUUAGCCUAAUUACUCCCUUGCUAAGUUAGCCUAAUUACUCCCUUGCUAAGUUAACCUCUAUUCUCCCUUGCUAAAUUAGCCUAAUUACUCUCUUGCUAAGUUAGCCUAAUUACUUCCUUGCUAAGUUAGCCUCAUUUCUCCCUUGCUAAAUUAGCCUAAUUACUCCCUUGCUAAGUUAGCCUAAUUACUCCCUUGCUAAGUUAGCCUAAUUACUCCCUUGCUAAGUUAGCCUAAUUACUCCCUUGCUAAGUUAGCCUAAUUACUCCCUUGCUAAGUUAGCCUAAUUUCUCCCUUGCUAAGUUAGCCUAAUUUCUCCCUUGCUAAGUUAGCCUAAUUUCUCCCUUGCUAAGUUAGCCUCAUUUCUCCCUUGCUAAAUUAGCCUAAUUACUCCCUUGCUAAAUUAGCCUAAUUACUUCCUUGCUAAGUUAGCCUAAUUACUCCCUUGCUAAGUUAGCCUAAUUUCUCCCUUGCUAAGUUAGCCUAAUUACUCCCUUGCUAAAUUAGCCUAAUUUCUCCCUUGCUAAAUUAGCCUAAUUCAUCAUUCUGAAUGGUGUACAUUCAGUGUACAUGCACCCCGUUCUGGUCCCUUAUACCUUUGUCAUGCAGAUGAUCAAUCCCCCCCAAAAAAACAAUCUGAGCCGAGAAACAUUGAGCCAGCUUGAAUGGGAUGUGAUCUGUGUUCAAUCACCGUGUUGAGGUACAGUAUACACCAUCAAUAGGUCAUUGUCCACAUAAUUACUCUAUUUAUGAGCCAGAGCUAUAUGGAAUCAUUUGUUUUCCAUUUUUGUCAUGUUUAUGGAUUAUACAGCGACUGGGGAAAUGACACGUCUUUUGUCAUGUUUAUGGAUUAUACAACGACUGGGGAAAUGGCAUGUCUGCUGAUGCAUUGACUAAUAACUAAAUAGCUGUGAGAGAGGAAGUGUGACUGACUGUGUGGGAGUGGGAUGUUGUUACUGACUGGUGUCUGGCUGACUGGCUGUGUAGGAGUGGGAUGUUGUUACAGAGAGUGGCUAGCUGGCUGACUGACUGUGUGGGACUGCGAUGUUAUUACUGGCUGGCUGGCUGACUGGUUGGCUUUGUUGAAGUGGGAUGUUGUUACAGAUAGUGGCAGGCUGGCUGACUGACUGACUGACUGACUGACUGCUGGCUGGCUGACUGAGUGACUGUGUGGGAUGUUGUUACAGAGAGUACUGGUUUACUGGCUGGCUGACUGAUUGGCUGACUGAGUGACUGUGUGGGAUGUUGUUACAGAGAGUACUGGCUGGCUGGCUGGCUGGCUGGCUGACUGACUGGCUGGCUGACUGGCUGACUGACUGAGUGACUGUGUGGGAAUGGUAUUUUGUUACACAGAGUACUGGCUGACUGGCUGGCUGGCUGGCUGGCUGAGUGACUGUGUGGGAAUGGUAUUUUGUUACACAGAGUGCUGGCUGACUGGCUGGCUGACUGGCUGGCUGACUGUGUGGGAUGUUGUUAGAGUUUCCAGCAAUAGGGCAGACAGGUAGUGCAGCUAUGUAGACUAGUCCUUCAGUACCUUGGCUCCAGGACUCAGUAAACUCUAUUACUUUGUCAUAGUAUUUGUAUUUAUUAUGGAUCCCCAUUAAUUCCUGCCAAGGCAGCAGCUACUCUUCCUGGGGUUUAUUAUGGAUCCCCAUUAGUUCCUGCCAAGGCAGCAGCUACUCUUACUGGCUCCGGCAAAAUUAGUUAUACAAUUUUAAAACAUUACACUCCAUUCAUAACAGAUUUCACAACACACAACACAAAAUCCAUGUGUACGUGUGUGUAUAGUGUGUAUGUUAUCGUGUGUGUGUGUGUGUGUGUGUGUGUGUGUGUGUGUGUGUGUGUGUGUGUGUGUGUGUGUGUGUGUGUGUGUGUGUGUGUGUGUGUGUGUGUGUGUGUGUGUGUAUGCAUGUAUCUGUGCCUAUGUUUGUAUUGCUUCACAGUCCCCGCUGUUCCAUAAGGUGUUUUUUUUAUCUGUUUUUUAAAUCUAAUUUUACUGCUGGCAUCAGUUACCUGAUGUGGAAUAGAUUUCCAUGUAGUCAUGGCUCUAUGUAGUACUGUGUGCCUCCCGUAGUCUGUUCUGGACUUGGGGACUGUGAAGAGACCUCUGGUGGCAUGUCUUGUGGGGUAUGCAUGGGUGUCUGAGCUGUGUGCCAGUAGUUCAAACAGACAGCUCGGUGCAUUCAACAUGUCAAUACCUCUCAUAAAUAAAAGUAGUGAUGACGUCAAUCUCUCUUCCACUUUGAGCCAGGAGAGAUUGACAUGCAUAUUAUGAAUGUUUGCUCUCUGUGUACAUCCAAGGGCCAGCUGUGCUGCCCUGUUCUGAGCCAAUUGCAAUUUUCAAAGUCCCUCUUGCAAAGUCCCUCUUUUUGGCACCUGACCACACGACUGAACAGUAGUCCAGGUGAGACAAAACUAGGGCCUGUAGGACCUGCCUUGUUGAUAGUGCUGUUAAGAAGGUAGAAACUAGGGCCUGUAGGACCUGCCAUGUUG